rnacentral:rRNA from 1 species
AGCGGAGCCCUUAAAGUCUGUCGUAGUCCGGAUUGGAGUCUGCAACUCGACUCCAUGAAGUCGGAAUCGCUAGUAAUCGCAGGUCAGCAUACUGCGGUGAAUACGUUCCCGGGCCUUGUACACACCGCCCGUCACACCAUGGGAGUGGAUUGCACCAGAAGUGGUUAGUCUAACCUUCGGGAGGACGAUCACCACGGUGUGGUUCAUGACUGGGGUGAAGUCGUAACAA